AUUGAACGCUGGCGGCAUGCUUUACACAUGCAAGUCGAACGGUAACAGGGAGCUUGCUCCGCUGACGAGUGGCGAACGGGUGAGUAAUGCGUCGGAACGUGCCGAGUAGUGGGGGAUAACGCAUCGAAAGGUGUGCUAAUACCGCAUACGUACUGAGGUAGAAAGUGGGGGACCUUCGGGCCUCACGCUAUUCGAGCGGCCGACGUCUGAUUAGCUAGGUGGUGAGGUAAAGGCUCACCAAGGCGACGAUCAGUAGCGGGUCUGAGAGGAUGAUCCGCCACACUGGGACUGAGACACGGCCCAGACUCCUACGGGAGGCAGCAGUGGGGAAUUUUGGACAAUGGGCGCAAGCCUGAUCCAGCCAUGCCGCGUGUCUGAAGAAGGCCUUCGGGUUGUAAAGGACUUUUGUCCGGGAGCAAAUGCCUGGUGUUAAUAGCACUGGGAGCUGAGAGUACCGGAAGAAUAAGCACCGGCUAACUACGUGCCAGCCGCCGCUGUAACAC
rnacentral:rRNA from 1 species